rnacentral:piRNA from 1 species
UGGUGUAAGAAAGGCCUCACUUUGAAUC